GCCCGUUGGACCGACGAUCUACGUAAGGUUGCCGGUGUAGGCUGGAUGAGGAUAGCGGAAGACCGGGAUAUCUGGCGCGAACUUGGGGAGGCCUAUGUCCAGCAGUGCACUGCGAUAGGCCGAACUGUAUAAUAAAUCUUCUACAACAGCGUUUUGCCCAGUCCACUCUCCAGGCCAUAGGCGAUUUUUUUUUCUUUUGCAACUAUAAUCGAUCUUUAAAUUUAUCAGCAACAAUAUUAAGACGUUGGUGUGGUAGCCUACGAUCAGCAGUUACGUCAAUGAUAUUAUGAUCUUGUAUUACCUCAUCUAAUCGAGCUUGUAUACACGGAAUGUUAGACUUUUUUCCACUAAGCAACCUAAUAGGUGAAAAGCCGGUCGAUUGCUGUACAGUAGUGUUUAAGGAAAGUUAUACUUUCCACAACCCACAGAACGCUCGGCCAGUCUGACACAUUGGUACAAGAAGCGCUUAUCAUAUUUGUUAUUGUAGCUACGUACCGUUCGACUUGGCCAUUCCCCCGGGGAGUACCAGUCGCUACCAUAUGAUGCCUAGUUUGCCAUUCAUCAAAUAACUGUCGCAAUUAUCUUUAACAUAAUUGUGUUUGCAGACAAACGAAAAAAAAAAGACUUCAGUUAUAUUGACAAGUAAUACAACGUAGGUAGAUGAAAAAAAUAGUCAAGUAAAUACGCAUUAUCAAAGAUUACUCCGAAAGUGGUUAUCAGAUUUCGAUAAAAUUUAAAUGUGACCACAUGAUAAAUAUCAGCUUUCGAUUAAAUUAAUAAUUAUCAAAAUCGGUACACCCAGUAAAAAGUUAUGUGGAUUUUUGAGUUUCCCUCGAUUUCUCUGAGAUUCCAUCAUCAGAUCCUGGUUACCUUAUUUUGGUACUAAACUAGGGAUAUCUCCUUUCCAACAAAAAAAAAGAAUUAUUAAAAUCAGUAUAUACAGUAGAAAGUUAUACGGUAUAAUACAACGUAGAUCGACGAAAAAAAAAAAAAAGCGUCAAGUAAUAACGCAUUAUUAGAUAUAACUCAAAAAGUAGUUUUUAGAUCACAAAUAAAUUUAAAUGGGACCAAAUGACACACCACCUUUCGAUAAAAAAAAUUGUCGAAAUCGGUCCACUCGGUCAAAAGUUCUGAUGUUACAUCCAUAUACAGUUGAAUUGAGAACC
rnacentral:misc_RNA from 1 species